rnacentral:rRNA from 1 species
CAGUCGCCGCUGGAAUACGUAGGGUGCAAGCGUUAAUCGGAAUUACUGGGCGUAAAGCGUGCGCAGGCGGUUAUAUAAGACAGAUGUGAAAUCCCCGGGCUCAACCUGGGAACUGCAUUUGUGACUGUAUAGCUAGAGUACGGCAGAGGGGGAUGGAAUUCCGCGGGUAGCAGUGAAAUGCGUAGAUAUGCGGAGGAACACCGAUGGCGAAGGCAAUCCCCUGGGCCUGUACUGACGCUCAUGCACGAAAGCGUGGGGAGCAAACAGGAUUAGAUACCCCGGUAGUCCCUGUCUCUUAUAC